AGGUAACCUGCCUCUUAGCGGGGGAUAACUAUUGGAAACGAUAGCUAAUACCGCAUAAAAGUCGACAUUGCAUGAUGUUGACUUAAAAGGUGCAAUUGCAUCACUACCAGAUGGACCUGCGUUGUAUUAGCUAGUUGGUGAGGUAACGGCUCACCAAGGCAACGAUACAUAGCCGACCUGAGAGGGUGAUCGGCCACACUGGGACUGAGACACGGCCCAGACUCCUACGGGAGGCAGCAGUAGGGAAUCUUCGGCAAUGGACGGAAGUCUGACCGAGCAACGCCGCGUGAGUGAAGAAGGUUUUCGGAUCGUAAAGCUCUGUUGUAAGAGAAGAACGAGUGUGAGAGUGGAAAGUUCACACUGUGACGGUAUCUUACCAGAAAGGGACGGCUAACUACGUGCCAGCAGCCGCGGUAAUACGUAGGUCCCGAGCGUUGUCCGGAUUUAUUGGGCGUAAAGCGAGCGCAGGCGGUUAGAUAAGUCUGAAGUUAAAGGCUGUGGCUUAACCAUAGUACGCUUUGGAAACUGUUUAACUUGAGUGCAAGAGGGGAGAGUGGAAUUCCAUGUGUAGCGGUGAAAUGCGUAGAUAUAUGGAGGAAC
rnacentral:rRNA from 1 species